rnacentral:pre_miRNA from 1 species
AUAAUACUCCCUCUGUCCGGAAUUACUUAUCAUCAAAAUGGAUGUGUCUAGAACUAAAAUACAUCUAGAUACAUCCAUUUCAAUGACAAGUAUUUUCGGACGGAGGGAGUAGUAG